AGCGAAUGGAUUGAGAGCUUGCUCUCAGGAAGUUAGCGGCGGACGGGUGAGUACACGUGGGUAACCUGCCCAUAAGACUGGGAUAACUCCGCGGAAACCAGGGGCUAAUACCGAGAUAACAUUUUGAACCGCAUGGUUCGAAAUUGAAAGGACGGCUUACGGCUGUCACUUAUGGAUGGACCCGCGUCGCAUUAGCUAGUUGGUGAGGUAACGGCUCACCAAGGCAACGAUGCGUAGCCGACCUGAGAGGGUGAUCGGCCACACUGGGACUGAGACACGGCCCAGACUCCUACGGGAGGCAGCAGUAGGGAAUCUUCCGCAAUGGACGAAAGUCUGACGGAGCAACGCCGCGUGAGUGAUGAAGGCUUUCGGGUCGUAAAACUCUGUUGUUAGGGAAGAACAAGUGCUAGUUGAAUAAGCUGGCACCUUGACGGUACCUAACCAGAAAGCCACGGCUAACUACGUGCCAGCAGCCGCGGUAAUACGUAGGUGGCAAGCGUUAUCCGGAAUUAUUGGGCGUAAAGCGCGCGCAGGUGGUUUCUUAAGUCUGAUGUGAAAGCCCACGGCUCAACCGUGGAGGGUCAUUGGAAA
rnacentral:rRNA from 1 species